rnacentral:lncRNA from 1 species
ACUGGGCAGCUUGACUCCACGCCCACCUGACUGGACUGAGAAAACCGAAGAAGUUGGUGAGGGUACAGCAAUAAAUAGCAGGAGGAGCAGAAUUUGAAACAGCAGCAUGCCGGUCCUGCGCCUGGUGAAGGAUGACUCGCCAGAAAGCAAAGGCGCAGACCUACCUCCGCGAGCUUGGCGCGUGGCCCAGGAGGCUCCGCGAGCCCUUGUACGUAAGGAUCGUGGCGCCCACGCUUGAGAGCAGAGCUCAGUGCAAACUUCCAACAGUUCUUCCAGUUUCCAGGGAAACGAGAUUUGGAGCUGCUGCGCGUUGCAGAGCUGCCUCUCUGCUCCCCACAUGGGACCCCUGUGGCUGGCUGGUCUUGAGGAGGAAGGAAUUGAAGCCACCUCAUCCUUGAAGGAGAAUCAGAGAGAUGAUUGAUUCUCCAUGCCUGGCCUCUUUUGUUCCACGUAUGUUUGUGAAGUGUGUCCAUGACGCUGUACACAGCGAUAGCUCACUCAUUGCUGAUAAUGAAGCCCAGCAGCUUACCCAUUUCACUGCAGUAAACAACAUAUUGCUUCUUGUUUGUGUGUCCUGAAUCACGGAGACAUGCAGUUGAGUAACCUGGGGGUGAAAUCGCCCUGUCUGAUUAAUACCAUCUUUGUUUUUAUUUGCCUGUUUCCCGUUGAGGUGAAAUUUAUGUACAAUAAGAACCAUUGAUUUUUUAGCUGUACACUUCCAUGAGUUUGGACAGUUGUCUACAUUUAUACAAACGACCACCUCUGGACUCACUGCUGUUCCAGCUUCUGCAAAUGCUAAGCUCAGCGUUUCCCCACACCAGGUCCGUGUGCUAAAGGUUUUAUUACAGUAUUUCCUAUGCAUGGUUGCAUGCAGUGGACAAUCUUGUCUGCCUGGUUUCAGUGCCUUUCAGACUUGUCCAAACUCUUGCAAGAAUCGAUUGAAUGUACUUAUUGCUGAAUAGAAUUCUAGUAAAAAGUGUUUCUCCAUUCACGACAUGAUGGACAUUCCAGCUUUUUCUGUGGUGUGACUGAGCUACUACUCAAACGUGGUAUCAUGCAGGCUUAGGUCUGCAGUAGGAGUGGGAUUGCUGGCUUGCACCACACAGUUACGUUUAUCUUUCAAGAAAACAGAAGAUUGUUAACUAGAAUCAUUUUUCAUGCCCCCAUGUGUUCACUCCUGGGUUGUGUUCUUAGCAACACCGGGUGCUGUCAGCCUCCCUAGUGUGUUGGCCAGCCUGGCAUCCAUAUAUAGCUUCUCACUGUGGCUUUACUUUGCAUUGUUCAGUUAUGAAUGCUAUCAACACUUUCACUUAUUUUCAGUAAAGCAUGCAUGCAGGCACUCGCGCACACGCGUGCACACACACACACACACACACACACACACACACACACACACACACACCCUUGGUUAGCUUUUUAAAAAAUCAUGUGGUCUCUAUCUAAUUAUCAUUUUAUCAACAGUGAAUAGAAGCAUGACUACCUAAAAUUUGGCAUACUUUGGCCCUAUGGAUUCUCCUGUAAUGGUCUAAGCACGAAUUAUACUUUAUACGCCUAAUCUCUUAAAAAAAAAAAACUCAUCACUGUUCAAGCUAUAAGUUCAGCUAGACAACCAUAACUUCUCCAGUGUGGGUCUAGAUUUGUGCCACAGAAGGACCUCACAGUCUUUCUUGUAAUGUUCAUAGCUCCAGAGAGUUCUGCCAAAUAGGCAGCUGUCUUGGGAAAGACUUUUUUUUUUAAGUGUACAUGGGACAGCAUGACUCCAAGAAACACCUGCAUUGUAGUGGUUCUGGGCAUCCUAUUGUGGGAUUUGGAGCUCAGAUGCUAGCUUACUUGAAACAGAUAGGGAGUAUGACUCAGAAGCGUCAUCUUGAAGGGGUCUUCGGAGGUUGAAGUCUUGGUGAAGCUGGCCAUGCCCAAGUAAAAAUAAAUGAUAUAAACCUACAAUUAAAUAUAUUAAAAUAUGGAUAACAAAUACUUAAAGCAACAAUUUUCUAUCUUUACCAUACUUUUAUCUUAACUGUUUUCUGAAAUUGUAUCAAGUUAAAAAAAAUGUAUAUUCUGUCUCUCCCAACCCCUUGCUCAGUGGCUCUGGGUGAUGGCUUGUGAUUUGCAUAGCAGGAGAAUUUAUACCACAGAAAUGAGCCAGCAAUGCAAAUCUGACUGGGGCUGCUUAUGUAGCUUACUUGUAAAGUGAAGGGCAAGAUGAGCGAUGCAGACCAGAGAUGGGUGGACACCAGACUGCGGCUGUAGCCACCAUUUUAAAUUCUGAACACAUUUCUUCUCGUGUUUUGGGAGCUAUCACCUGUGCAGUAAUAGUAUGCACAUUGUACAUCUCUAAUGAAAGGCAUUUCAACAUGAUUCCCUCUUGUCCUCCCUGGAACUCAUCAACUUAUGUGAAAACAGCACACAACAUCCGAAUCAGAGCAGCACCCUCUUGUCAGCGACGGGAGCAAGCAUUUUGCUGAGUCAGAUGUAAUCAGGGUUUAUUCAUGUCCUAAUUUUGCAAUACUGUUGUCAGUGAGAGUUAGAAAAACAGUGGAUUUUGCAAGAAAUAGCAAGUCACAUUGAAGUUAUAAAAUAAAAAGCAGAUAAGUGCUCUCGUUUAAAAUGUUAUUUCCAAACUUGUAUAAGAAAAUGCUAAUGAAAUAUUUUCAAUUUUUAAAAUUGCAUUUAUUUGCUCAUUGUGCUGUGCAUUUGCGUGUGGGAAUGCAAGUGUAGUGGGGAAGUUGUAGAGGUCAGAGGACAACUGAGAACACUUGAUUUUCUCCUUGCACCUUGUGGGUCCAAGGGACCAAAUUAGGUCAUCGGUGCCUUUACCUGCUGAGCCAUUUCACUGGCUCAUUAAAUUGCUAAUAAAAAAUUUAUGUUAGCUCAAGUAAUGGCAUGGAUUUAAUAAGGUUAUAGAACCAUUUUUCACAUUUUGAUCCACCAAAACAAUACUUUCUCACAUUAUUUUACAUGUGAAACAAGUGAAAACAAAUACAGGAAAGGAUUGUAUGACCUCCGAUCCUGUGGCUGCUCAUUUUCUAAUGAUUUAGCAGACCACCAAGAUGCUCUGAGUGUCUGGGAAUAAUUAGCAGGGAAGGCACAGCUCCUGCUUCUUGAAACAGUUUUGCAGGAGAGAAAAACAUCCUUCAGGUAGUUAAGGAAGUGCCUUACUACAGGCUAAGGUCUAACACAACAAACACGGGCUUGUGAGAAGGGAUGCUGCCUUAAAUGGGGUCAAGCAGAUGCCUGCCUACAAGGCUGAGCUUGACCCUCCUCCUCUGUCACCCAGCCUCCUAAAUGUAAGAAACAAACUACUGACUGAUAACUCCCAAACUUAUGAUUCACUUCAAAUUUUUCCCUGGAACCCCAGGUUAGAUUCCAGCCUCCUGUUGUCAUCAACAAUAUCAAGGCCUCAUUUUAGCGCAAUGAAAUUAUCUUUGUAUCUCAUCUUCAAACAAAGACAGGAUGCAUCCCAACCCCUGCACUCAGGUGACAGAAACUCACUCUUGCAGCUGCUUUGCUAAACUUGUAGAGUUGUCCUCAUUGUCCACACCAGGCCCUAGCCAAUAGCAGCCGGAUGGGAAGCAACUGCUCUGGAGUCACUGGUACCUGUAUCUCCUCUCUAUGCCUAUUGUCAUCUUUCCAGUCCUCAGGGAACAGCCAACCUUUGAAGUGAGAGUCACUUACAGCAGCUGCUACUCAAAAAUGUUUUUGGUCUCCUUCAGAGUGAACAAAAGCAAUUUUGUGAGGUUUCUCCCUUAUCACCCUUACUCCCUGGCUCACUUUGUCCUACUACCUAUGUUCAAGGUACCUGCAGGGACCUAAGAUCUGUUUUCUCAUAAAAAGUUGACUUAAAAAAAAAUGAGACAGGGUCUAUCAAUAGCCUGGAACUCACCAAGUAAACUUAACUAUUUAACCAUUGAGUCUCAGGGACACAAAGGUGGAGGCCUGUUUGUUCAUUUAUUGUUCUCAGUGCCAAGAAUAGCAUCUGGCACAAGGUAGAUGGUCGAUGAAUACUUGUGUAGCUAGUUUUCAAAAUUUACUCGAUUAAAGUUUAAAGAAUGUAAACUA